UCACUCUUUCCUUUCUUCUGUUUUUUUAAGGCAGCUCACAGAACACGACGAGUAUGCCAAACAUCCAAGUGUGUGAAGAAUGAAUGCCGUGUUGUUUAAUCAACUUAAUGCAGAUUAGCUACUGUAGUUCUGGUUUGUUUCUUAAACUUUUAAAUUAAGGUAACAACCUUCAUGCAGCUUGAACAAACCAAAAAAGUGUGAAACUUGCGGCAAAUUUUGUGGGACAGGAAACUUUAAUUAGUUUUGUAAAUGGCUGAAAAGUGAACAAAAUGCGUGUUGUGUAAAGCGCAGUGUAGACACAAAAGCUAAGCAACAACUACCUGAUAACUUGGAAAACGCCAGUAUUCAAAACUAAUUAAAGAUCUCGAAACCUUUGUUAUUUUUUCUUUUUUUGGUAAAAGUUUUGGGCAACUCUUAUAGCUGCAAAUGAUUCUCAAAUUUUUUGGUUUGUUCUUAUGCAAAUAAUUAUUGCACCUAAAAUAUCUGCCUGUGAUAAAUCAGAUAGCAAGAUUUAUUAAUGUGGUGAGGUAAAACAAAUAAAUAAAUCACACCACCUACAAUCGGAAUCCGAAGCUGGGGCUCUGAUGCAAAUGUUACAUUGCUUUCUCAUUAUAACUGAACACAAUUAAAGUAGCAGACUCUGAACAUAGUGUGCAUAAAUGUCAGUGUUGUUUGUUGUUGUCUACCAGUCAGAAAAACGCAGUGCUGGGUUAUAGGAUCAGGAGAAUAACCUUGGAAACAAGCAGCCUCUUAAGUUCUGUCUAAUAAUGCAUUUUAUCCUCUUGUAGCCCAGCAACAGAGGGGGAACAUUUAUACCUUUUUGCUUGAGCUUUCCUGGAGUUUCAGCUGUCGAUUUCAGACAUCCAACUGUUGGGUCAUAAAAGAUAUGUUUUUGUUUUUUAACUUAAAGUGUUAUUAAAUGUUACAGUAUAUUUUCUUUACAAGUUCUAAUACAAAUUCUGUGGGUGGUUUGAUUUGAUAAUGACUUGAAAAUUUCAAAUCCACACACUGAUUGAUUCACAAAAAUGCCUUUUCCCAUUUCACUACGUUCAAUACAAGCCACUAAGAAAGGUACAGACAAAAAAGACCUUGGAAAAAAUCUGUUACCUUGCAUGUUCGCCAUCACUCGUAAUUAAGGAACUGACUGGAAAAAUAUGUUCCAAGAUCUUUAAAGCAAAACAAAUUAAGUGCAAAUAACUUAACUAUUCUGAACUUUUUUGGCCAUUUUAAAUGUGAGAAAACUUCGGUAAUGCGAUUAAGCCACAGGAAGUUGGAUGAAAGCUCAUUGGUAAUUCCUGUAAGACGGGUAAAACCAAUCCAUCCUGUACAGACUGGGUCUGUCCUUAAAAUGUUUUUAUUCAUUUUUGCCAGAGGGAGGAUAGUUCCACUUAAUGUUUUAAAAAAAGGUUUGCAAGUGCCACACUUUUCUUUCACUAUUUAUUUUUUUAAAUUAUUUUUAAAAAUUAAUGUGCAAGUGCCAGGCUAUGUAGUCGUAUAAUUACAUAUGAAUGUCCUUGUUAUAUUUGGGUAAUGUUAAAUGAAAAAACAAACCCAUGACUUACACACUUUCGACUUGGUAUUCUGCAGAGUAAUACACUGAUCUGUUAGCUAAUGAAUUCACCCUCACAGGGGGUACUGAGCCAGGUGAUAUCUCAGUCUCUUUCAAGCACAUGUAGUUUUGAAUUACCUGUCUCACUUCUUCCUGUGAAGAGGUCUUCUUAAGGACUGAGAAAAGACCAAAGUGUCAGUUAUACCUGCAGGCAGUGUUAGCCUCUACAGUCUUUAUAUAGAUAUUUAUUCAUGAAAAUAAUGAAGGACAUCAGUGUUUGUUGGUGGCUUAACUUAGGUGUUGAUGCAAGAAAAGUAACUAGUCUAUAAAGGCUUUGUGAAGCUCUAUUACACAGCUAAGUCCACCAUUAUGUUGGAGGUGCAGCGUAACGUAACUGCUGCGAUUGAGAUCGCAAAACUAACUGUAUAUCAGUUUUUUCGUAACCUGGUGCAUACAGUAAAUGGUGAAGUGAUGUAAUAACAAGAAACAUGAUAUCAUGAAAAAUGAAGACAGGAGCGCCAAAAAACAGCUUUUCAGAUUUCUAAGCCAUGAAAGGCUGACACAAAGCUGAAGUAAUUGGUACCAAAAGACUUGUCUACAGUUGUAUAUGACAGUAUAUGGCAGCUGAUCAUAUACAGAUUAAAAAAUAUGUUUAAAUUUUCUCUAGUCUGGAUUCUGUUUCCCAAAAGUGUCAUUUGCAGCCACUGUGGUACCCACGACUUCUGUAGAACAAGCCUUUGCACAGAGUGGUCUUCUCUUAGGCCCCUUUUUCAUGGCUCAUGAAUUUAAAAUAUGAAUCCUGUAUUCAUUAUUUAUAACAUGAUAGUUCUUGUAGGUCAUUCCACUGAACCAUUUCACUAUAAAUAUGAACUGGCAUUGAAUCAAAUUUCAAUAGUGGUACACAGUUGAUCCUGCAGACUCAAUGCCAAUUGCCUGUUUGCCUGCACCUCCAGCACAAUGGGAGACAUGUCAUCACCCCAGAAUGCCUAACUGUGUGUGAAAGAAUGCUAACAUGAAAUCUCCUGGAAAAAGGUUUAUCUUUCAGGGAGUCUCAACAGACCUUCUCAUUCCCAUAGCAUCAAAUACUGCUGUUCUGUCAAAGCCACUGACAUUUUACAGAUAUGCACAAACUGUGUAGUGGAAUUAGUAGAAAUUAGCAAUGGUUUUCUAUCAGCUUAUUUCCCCAUCUGCAUAGUAUAAAGUAGUACUUUUACAAGCUGUGGGCAUUUUUUUUUUUGGAUGAGAUAACGCAUCUGCAAAAAAUUAUUAAUGUGUUGAUGCCAGAGGCAAAGUUUGGGGACUAUUAAAACCAUUGGAGUGCUUUGUCUGGGAACUACGAGUGUCACAUUUUGUGCAAAAAUAUCAGGUAGCUAUCAGAAUAAUUACACUGAAUAAUUACACUUUUUUUUUUUUUUAUUAGUGAAUUUAUUCUAGCAGAAAUGUCCUCAAAAGGACCUCGAAUGUCUCUAGCAAAUUUCAUGGCAAUCCAUUUAAUAGUUUUUGAGAGAUUUCAGCAUGGACCAAAGUGAUGGACGGACCAAAUUAUAGUUUGAUCAAAAGAGUAGAGCUGUGAGAGCGAAAGAGGUAAUAAGACGAGAGUGUGGCUUUUGACUGUGUGCAUCAGAUCAGCGCAGGGCAGUGUGUGUUUAAAUCAGGUAUAAUCAUAACUUUUAGAGGAGGUGAUUUAGGGUCUGAAAUGUAUGAAACCACUUAGUAAGCAGAUUAGAGGGUUGGAGGGUGAGUUCUCAAUUUUGCAGUUUUUCAAAAACAUUAAUUAAAUUUUGCUGCUCAAGAGAACAAAAGAGAAUAAUACCAAACAAUCUGUUUGUGAAGGGCAACACGAGGUGCUUCGAAAGUAAAGCAGAGCUGAUUAGCGAUAAGGACAAAGUGUAAUAGAGUUCUUGCUGGUGUAAGAAACAUAAUUCUUUUACUGUGGUCUUACUCUGACCUUCUGCCAACAAAUCCCUGUUUUUGUAAGUAACACACCAAAUAUUUUACUUUGCUCUUUCAUAAUUUAGAUAAUAUCCUAAAAUAUGCAUUAUUUGUCUCUUGUCUAGCCGUAAAACAGACACACAUAGCCUAGCAUUUAGGUGCAUUUACUUUUUAUUUAGUUGCUCUUGGGUUUAAGGUGGGUUGUUAGCUUCUCAGGUCAAAUCUCACAUUUGCAUGUUCACGGUGAAAUCGUAAACACAUAUUGUUUAUUUCAGCUUGUUUAUUUCCCCAAAAAGUUACAGAGGUAGUAUGGAUUUUAUGGCAGGGUAUAAACCUUAAAGUGAAACAGGUUGUUUAUGUGCAGCUGGGGUUAAGAGCACACAGGAUGUCAUCUCCAAUUGUGAUAAUUUAUAUUAUGUGAAAAACAGGUUAAUGUUUAAUUCAGUACCUAAACUGUUGAUGGGGGGGGAUAUGAUAGACGCCUAUGUACUUGACAGCAUUUUGAAAACUUUGAAACUUGCAAGAUGGAAAGCGAGAGUUGGGAAAACUGCAUCAUUAUUCUACAGGUUAAGUGGCUGAGGAGAAGUAGAUCAUGAAGGAGAGGCCUGUUAGCUGAGAUUUUAUGAUACAAGGAGAACAAAAAGCCUUGCAAAGACUCUCUAACAUCCAGUUUAAGGACUGGUUCCAUUCAUAUCUAUGAAUCUGCAAAAUUGUUUUCCAGCAUUUCCAAAUUGUUAUCACUCAGUACGAAUGCAGAUAUAUGCGCAGAACAAUGAAGAGUUUCAGCACAAAUCACACUCAAAUGUGUGUACGUGUGCAUAUAUCUGAGUUUGUCUGGCGUGCAGGUCUGCGUGUGUUCGAGGCAGUAAAAAGAGCUCAUACUGCACUUUGGCUGGUGUGGGUGUAAGAACUAAGUUAUCUCUGAGCUCAGUGCCAUAUAUUAACAUUUCCUGUAUAUAGGGAGCCACUCACAAAUGAUGAUUGCUCGCUAUAUGUAAUGUGAGACUAGAAAAGAUAUGCUAGAACCAUGAUACGUAUAAUUUAAUCUUCCUCUUCGGUUUUUAUUCUUUUUAUUUUAUUGUGUAACUUGUGUCUGAUCUGGUCACAACAGAUGAAACUGUGCUGUGAGCAGAUAUCUGAUAUUUGCGGAUGCAGCAGAACCAAGUCAGAAGAUACCGUCACAACAUUUAUCUAAAUAUGUCCUGAGUUGUUAUGUGAAUUGAUUAGGACUGAUCUGGACAUUUUUAAUUUCAUUUAGUACACCAGGCAAAAUAAAAAUCUGUGAAUGGAACAAACCCCAGACUGAAAGCAGGGAUAAAUGACUGCCACGUAUCGGGAUUUAGAACCCAAACUGAGGUUUAGGAGGCAGACUGGAAGUAAAAAACCACAAUGCUGUUUAUUGAGGCCAUUUACAAAGUACAUGAAACACAAAAUCCAAAAAGCAAGCCAAACCGAAAUCCACAAGAACACAGAGGAGGAUCACAGAUGCUCAGACAAAGAAUGAAGACAAGGGCAGGCCUUUAUGUACACAAACAUGCUGAGGGCUAAUCAGGGGAAUGCGACACAGCUGGAGAAAACAAGGUACAGCUGAAACUAAUCAAUGGCGAGACGCUGACGAAGAGGGAGUAAAACUAAUCACAGUACACAACUGAUAGGAAAUGAACCAUAUGACUAUAACAGACAUAAUUUUAACAGAGAACUGUGGCAUAGAUUCAACGAGGUGCUGGAAACAUCCUCAGAGAUUUUCCUCCAUGUUGACCUGAUAGCAUCACACAGUUGCUGCAGAUUUGUCAGCCCCAUGAUGUGGAUCCACAUCCCAAAGGUUACUCCGGUACAUCUGUCCAAGUGGCUGAGACCCUUCCUGCCAUGGCGGUUUACCUAACUGACUUUUAAGCUGACAUGAGGAUGAAGGCGAGGAGCUAUUUGGGGUUGACCCAUGCCCACCAGUUGACUCGGUCCAAUUUUAGUGAGCCUAUUAGAAAUGUAACCUCAGUUUGCUGUUGUUAGCUGACAGGAGUGACGUCUGGUGUGGUCCUCUGCUUCUGUAACACAUCUGCUUCAAGGUUCAAUGUUUUGUGCUUUCAGAGAUUGAGAGAAUGAACUAGGCAAACCGUAAAGAUGGUUGUGAAAUACUCAACCUGUCUGGCACCAACAACCAUGUCAAGUUUAAAGUCACUUAACUUUUUUCCCAAUUCUGAUGCUUGGUUUGAACUGAGUGUACCUAAUUAAAAGGCCAGUGGGUGUUUGAUUGCUGGCCAGCCAAAAUCAUAGCGCAAAGGAUUUUGCAUGAAAUUUCUUGGCAGACUUAUAAGUUGCUCUUUUAAAAUAUUUUUUCACUUUAGACAAGAGUCCAACUCUUUUCUUUUUCUUUAUGUGAAGAUGUAGGUUAAUGGCUCAAAGCUUCCAGCUCGAUAUUUAACGCAAAGGAAUGAAAAUGACAUUAAUCUUCUCAUCUCAAAGCAAGCUGAACACUAAUCCUUUGAAAAGAAGAAUAAUAAAAAAUGGUAGAAUUUGUGGCUUGUUUUCAUUGGUACCAGUAAUGUUUGGUACUGACCAGCUGUUUGUAUUUAGGUUUUACUUGUUCUUCUUGUGCUAUUUGCCUUUAUUUGAAAUGUUUUCUUGAUUUAUGUUUUGAUACACAUAAAGAUCAAGCUCUGUUAUUCUCACUUUGGCUCAUGGAUCAAAACAAUUUUUUAUACACACUUUGCCGAUGUUCUUAAUAGUUCUCUAUGAAAACUAACUUAAAUGACUAUUUUAUAGACUUCCAUGUGAAAUGAGAUGUUUGCUAAUUAUGUCCAGAUGACAAAAUACAGACAAAUACAUUUUAAAUGGACCGUUUUUGCAAACAUUUGCGUUGUUAGUGACCUUAUUCAUUCCAAAUUUUCAAUAAAUGUCUUCAUCCAGUGAAAAUGUUGAUGCUUUUCUAUAAUUAAGUCCUGCUUGAAUGAAAACACAGUUUCUUUGGUAUUAGCUGUGCAAAUGUGAGAAGAGCUUUCUGAACAAAUCAAAAGUGAAAUGAAGGG